CUGACGAACCAUGAUGUCAUUUAUUUGGUGUUGCGGGGAAUCAGGACUGUUACUUUGAAAAAAUUAUAGUGUUUAAAGCAGGCUCACGCUUGAAUACAUUAGCUUAGGAAUAAUGAAAUACGACGUUUGAUUCUAUUUUGUUGGUUUCCAGGAUCCACCUAAUGAUUAAUAGGGAUAGUUGGGGGCAUUAUUAUUCCAUUGUCAGAGGUGAAAUUCUUGGAUUUAUUGUACACUAACUACUGCGAAAGCAUUUGCCAAGGAUGUUUUCUUUACUCAAGAACGAAAGUUAGGGGAUCGAACACGAUCACAUACCGUCAUUGUCUUAACCAUAAACUAUGCCGACUAGGGAUCGGAUGAUGUUAAUUUUUUAAUG
rnacentral:rRNA from 1 species